rnacentral:rRNA from 1 species
GACGAACGCUGGCGGCGUGCUUAACACAUGCAAGUCGAGCGGUAAGGCCCUUUCGGGGGUACGACGAGCGGCGAACGGGUAGGAGUAACAACGUGGGUGGACCUCGCCCUCCAGCUCUGGGGAGUAAAGCCUCGGGAAACGUAGGGUCGUAAUACCGGAUAUGACUCCAUGACGCAUGUUGGUGGGGUGGAAAGCCUUGUGCGGCUGAGGAUGGGCCC